CAGAGUUUAUCAUGGCUCAGGAUAAACGCUAGCGGCAGGCCUAACACAUGCAAGUCGAGGGGCAUCGGAUAGAGUACUUCGGUACUCUUGCCGGCGACCGGCGGACGGUGCGUAACGCGUAUGCAACCUACCUUCAACAGGGGGAUAAUCCGAAGAAAUUUGGUCUAAUACCCCAUAAUAUUCCGACAGGCAUCUGUCGGAGUUGAAAGCUUACGGUGGUUGGAGAUGGGCAUGCGUUGUAUUAGCUAGAUGGUG
rnacentral:rRNA from 1 species